UCACGUCAUGAAAGUCGGUAACACCCGAAGCCGGUGGCCUAACCCCUUGUGGGAGGGAGCCGUCGAAGGUGGGAUCGGCGAUUGGGACGAAGUCGUAACAAGGUAGCCGUACCGGAAGGUGCGGCUGGAUCACCUCCUUUCUAAGGAG
rnacentral:rRNA from 1 species